rnacentral:lncRNA from 1 species
UCUAUUCUAUAUUCCAGCUGCAAAACAAGGUUUUUAUAUGAAGUCUCAGAGUUUGGAUUUCUGAGUUUACUUAUACAACCAUGGGCUUUGGCCAACUUGGAUUUGCUGAGCAAGUUGGUAGGCAUCAUCCAAUUUUUCUCUUGACCCCUAACUACACGUCGAUAGCACUUGCACAUACAGGACUAAUCUUCAUCUCUCACUCUAUGCUGAUGACCAAUCACUGAAAUUCACUUUUGGAUUUGAAAAAAAUCACAGCAAAAAGCAGUAAAAACAAUUACAAUUGAUACUUGUCCUAAACCUUUUUGAUAUGCGGAUGAUACUGAAUGACAUAUUGAUAGAAGAAAAUGCAAACACUACAAUGGAUCUGUAUGCUAGUGAGAGAGAAAACAACUUGCUUGAGGGAGAGGGAUGAAGAAUAAACCUUUAUGCUGGAUUCGAUCAUUUCAGUAUCACAAUCUACUCAUUUCCAAAACAGCAAAAAAGGUAAAGGACUCAAUAAUCUAAAAUUGUUAGGAAAAAAAAAUUUCACCAUUCAAGUCCUUGCUAGAAAUACAACCAAAAAAACAAGAUAAGUAGGCUAGCUGUUAACAAGAUGAAUAUUAAGCUUUUGUCCUUUCAUGCUUUGAUGCAAAUUAAGUUCAAUGGGUUUGAACUCAAAUUUUCCAAGAUAACAUGAACAUUUUUGGGUCUUCAUGGUACAAAUGUAUAUCAAAAUGUUAAAACUAGCAAAAAAUUCAACGGUCUAGUAAGCUGAACUUUGAUCUGUCUCCACUGCUUUGUUUUAACACCUAAAACUAUCCUCUAAACAUAUAAGUAUUAAACCAAGGUUUGUGUCUUAGAAAAAUGUCGUUAUCAGUGUACUUCAUGUCAUCUUCCUCCUUCUCAUAUAUUUUACAGGAAAUAUCUUUGGUGGUCAGUUUGCUAUGAAACAAUGCACGUAAGCUCUAGGGUGGAAAAGCCGACCAACUUGCUGUUCAUUUUUUUUUCAGAAAAAUCCACCUUGAUUUUGUCAGGUUGAGAUUUGCUGGCGUAGAUGAUAAAGAAAUGAAGUAACAAUCUUCAACAAACAGAUAUGGAGUGUUUUAUUUGUCGGAGUCCAAUAUUAUCUGACGUCAAU